AUACGGAGGGGUUAGCGUUGUUCGGAAUUACUGGGCGUAAAGCGCACGUAGGCGGAUUGGAAAGUUGGGGUGAAAUCCCAGGGCUCAACCCUGGAACUGCCUCCAAAACUCCCAGUCUGGAGUUCGAGAGAGGUGAGUGGAAUUCCGAGUGUAGAGGUGAAAUUCGUAGAUAUUCGGAGGAACACCAGUGGCGAAGGCGGCUCACUGGCUCGAUACUGACGCUGAGGUGCGAAAGUGUGGGGAGCAAACAGGAUUAGAUACCCCCCGUAGU
rnacentral:rRNA from 1 species